CUACGGGUCGCUCCAGUGAGGAAUAUUGCACAAUGGGGGGAACCCUGAUGCAGCAACGCCGCGUGGAGGAUGACGCAUUUCGGUGUGUAAACUCCUUUUAUAUGUCAAGAAAAUGACGGUAGCAUAUGAAUAAGCACCGGCUAACUCCGUGCCAGCAGCCGCGGUAAUACGGAGGGUGCAAGCGUUACUCGGAAUCACUGGGCGUAAAGGACGCGUAGGCGGGUUGGAAAGUCAGGUGUGAAAUCCUACAGCUUAACUGUAGAACUGCACUUGAAACUUCUAAUCUAGAGUAUGGGAGGGGGAGAUGGAAUUAGUGGUGUAGGGGUAAAAUCCGUAGAUAUCACUAGGAAUACCUAAAGCGAAGGCGAUCUCCUGGAACAUUACUGACACUAAGGCGUGAAAGCGUGGGGAGCAAACAGGAUUAGAUACCCCAGUAGUC
rnacentral:rRNA from 1 species